rnacentral:rRNA from 1 species
GUGAAAUUCAAUUUAAUUUGAAUUGAAAUAAUUAUUAAAUAAUUUUUGAAUAAAGUAUUUUUUUUGUUGAUUUAUUUUUAAAGAAAUAAUGAUUUUUAUUAUAUAGAAUUAGUAUAGUGAUAGAAUUUUUUUUUAUUUUUUAAAGAAAAAUUAAUUUUUUGUACCUUGUGUGUCAGGGUUUAUUAAAUAAAAUUUAAAUAGUAAAAUUUCUCGAUUUUAAAAGAGUAAAUUAUUUAUAAAUAUUAUUGUUUCAAAAAUAUUUAAAAUAGAUAAUUGGUAAUGAAAUGUUAUUCGUUUUUAAAUAUAUCUAGUUUUUAAAGAAAAAAAUUUAAUUUUAUUUAUAAAAUUUAUUAUUUUUAUUUUUAAAAAUAUUAAUAUUUUAUAAAUUAAAUUAUUAGGGAUGAGCUUAGUAAUUGACACUUAUAAAUUAAUAAUUAAUAAUUAAAAAUGUAGGAUUAUAAAUUUUUAUCUUUUAAUUUGUUAUAAUUAAUUUAGUUUUUAAAAAAAUUUUUAUUGAUUUUAAUUUUUUUAUUUAAAUAUAAAAUUUAAUAUAUAAUUUUUAGUAAUGAUGAUAAAAUUAGUAUAAUAAAAUAGUAAAUUAUUUAUAGUUUAUAAAAUAAUUAAAAGGAAUUCGGCAAAAAAAAUUUUUCGCCUGUUUAUUAAAAACAUGUCUUUUUGUAGUUAAUUUAAAGUCUAGCCUGCCCAAUGAUUUAUUUAAUGGCCGCAGUAUUUUGACUGUGCAAAGGUAGCAUAAUCAUUAGUUUCUUAAUUAGAAGCUUGUAUGAAAGGUUGAACGAGAAAGUAACUGUCUCUUAAUUAAUUUUUUAAAAAUUUAUAUUUAAGUUAAAAGGCUUAAAUUUAUUUAAAAGACGAGAAGACCCUAUAGAGUUUUAUAUAAAAUUGUAUAAUUAUUUUUUAGAAAUUAAUUAAAUUUAUAAAAAUUUUAUAUUUAAUUGGGGUGAUUAUAAAAUUUGUGAAACUUUUAAAAAUUUAAACAUUUAUAUAUGAAUAUGUGAUCCAUAAAUUAUGAUUAAAAGAAAAAAUUACCUUAGGGAUAACAGCGUAAUUUUUUUUUAGAGUUCUAAUCAAUAAAAAAGUUUGCGACCUCGAUGUUGGAUUAAAAAAAAGUUUUGGUGUAGAAGCUAAAAUUUUAGGUCUGUUCGACCUUUAAAAUUUUACAUGAUCUGAGUUUAAACCGGUGUAAGCCAGGUUGGUUUCUAUCUUUAAAAAUUUAAAAUAUUUUAGUACGAAAGGACCAAUUAUUUAAAAAUAUUUUUAAUAUUGAAAUUUAUUAAGUUAUUAUUUUGGCAGAUUAGUGCAUUAAAUUUAGAAUUUAAUUAUGUAAUUUAAAUUACAAAUAA